UACGUCAUUUUGUAUUUCUUUGUUGAAAAAGUUUAAUAUGUUUUAUAGAGAUUAAGAUUAUAACACAAUGUUGGCUGGGGUACCCCAACAUUUGACCAUUUUACUUAUUAUGCCUGUUCGUUUUGCUGACACAUUGUUGUCAAUAUAAUGAAUUAGUACACGACUGUCGUACAAGUGAUAUGUCCAGCUAGCUGUAAAGCAAGUUUUAAUACAC
rnacentral:lncRNA from 1 species